rnacentral:rRNA from 1 species
GAUGAACGCUGGCGGCGUGCCUAAUACAUGCAAGUCGAGCGAACAGAUAAGGAGCUUGCUCCUUUGACGUUAGCGGCGGACGGGUGAGUAACACGUGGGUAACCUACCUAUAAGACUGGAAUAACUCCGGGAAACCGGGGCUAAUGCCGGAUAAUAUUUAGAACCGCAUGGUUCUAAAGUGAAAGAUGGUUUUGCUAUCACUUAUAGAUGGACCCGCGCCGUAUUAGCUAGUUGGUGGGGUAAUGGCUUACCAAGGCAACGAUACGUAGCCGACCUGAGAGGGUGAUCGGCCACACUGGAACUGAGACACGGUCCAGACUCCUACGGGAGGCAGCAGUAGGGAAUCUUCCGCAAUGGGCGAAAGCCUGACGGAGCAACGCCGCGUGAGUGAUGAAGGUCUUCGGAUCGUAAAACUCUGUUAUUAGGGAAGAACAAAUGUGUAAGUAACUGUGCACGUCUUGACGGUGCCUAAUCAGAAAGCCACGGCUAACUACGUGCCAGCAGCCGCGGUAAUACGU